rnacentral:rRNA from 1 species
AUUGAACGCUGGCGGCAGGCCUAACACAUGCAAGUCGAGCGGAUGAAGGGAGCUUGCUCCUGGAUUCAGCGGCGGACGGGUGAGUAAUGCCUAGGAAUCUGCCUGGUAGUGGGGGAUAACGUCCGGAAACGGGCGCUAAUACCGCAUACGUCCUGAGGGAGAAAGUGGGGGAUCUUCGGACCUCACGCUAUCAGAUGAGCCUAGGUCGGAUUAGCUAGUUGGUGGGGUAAAGGCCUACCAAGGCGACGAUCCGUAACUGGUCUGAGAGGAUGAUCAGCCACACUGGAACUGAGACACGGUCCAGACUCCUACGGGAGGCAGCAGUGGGGAAUAUUGGACAAUGGGCGAAAGCCUGAUCCAGCCAUGCCGCGUGUGUGAAGAAGGUCUUCGGAUUGUAAAGCACUUUAAGUUGGGAGGAAGGGCAGUAAGUAAAUACCUUGCUGUUUUGACGUUACCAACAGAAUAAGCACCGGCUAACUUCGUG